rnacentral:lncRNA from 1 species
GCCCAAGUCCCGGCAGCUGCUGCGGUGGACUUAGAGGCAGCAGGUCCUGCUUCUGCCCCAAACGUUCAAUGUAGUCGGAUUCCCGGGGACAGCAGGGCAGUCUGCGCGCACACCGCCGGAGCAUCGCAGGACACCUGCUGCCCCCUAUCGGUGGUGAGAACAAUAACCCGAACCCGGUUGGAAUCAACUGGAAGAGGCCUUUUGAAAAAAAGAAUAUUCCAGGACUACGCAGUAGCCAGACGACUCUCUAAGAACAUGGGUUUCCGCAGUCAGCUCCGACUGCCUCGUUUUAAUGCAGUUUUUCGCAAGUGAAGGAGAGCAUGCUGGAUCGAAGAGGACUCUGACACUGCUUCGGUGAAGGCAGGGAGUGGGGAAGGGGGGGUGUUGAAGGGGUUCAAGAUACACCAGGGUCUAUUUGUUUUCCACCUCCCUAUUCAGCAACCCAUCUGGUCCUUAUGCAAAGCACUUGACUUCGCCCGGGAUGGGGACACACAUCAGAGCACAGCGUGGUGUUUUCCCAAGCCCCCGAGGCACCUGUCCCCUCACAUUACACCUUGAGGAGAGUCCAGUGACCUCUGCUGCAGAGGCGACAAAGGCUCCCUGGGAAGCCGGCCUCAGUGGUGUCCAGGAAUGGCUUUCAAACAGCGUGUACUCCUGUCGUCCCUUUAAUAAAUAUAGGGCUAUGCUUCAGAAAAGCAAAAAUAAAUGCCGAGAAGUAAAAGGAAGCUAUCGGUUACCCCGUUACCUCUGAAGCCUGUAUAUGUGAAAUUUUCUUCUAAGACCGAGCAUUAAAAUUUGCUUCCACUUGGACAUAGCCAAGAUUGCUAACAGGCUGGGAACGCUACAUACUCUGGGAUUUCUAAUUUUAUUUUCAUCACUUUGUCCCCGCUUAUUACUACCCCCAACCCCAAUACACACACACUUGGCAGUAUCCUAACUUCUUCACUCUUGUCCACAUUUGUCUUGGCGCUCUGGGGAAGAAGGACGCCGAGAACCAAACGCUGACUAUUUGACGAGGGACCACCACCACCACCCAGAAAAACACACGGUUCAGUGUGCGUGGAUUGUUUGCAUCAGCGAGU